rnacentral:rRNA from 1 species
UUGCUACAGGCUUAACACAUGCAAGUCGAGGGGCAUCAGGAAGAAAGCUUGCUUUCUUUGCUGGCGACCGGCGCACGGGUGAGUAACACGUAUCCAACCUGCCCUUUACUCGGGGAUAGCCUUUCGAAAGAAAGAUUAAUACCCGAUAGCAUAAUGAUUCCGCAUGGUUUCAUUAUUAAAGGAUUCCGGUAAAGGAUGGGGAUGCGUUCCAUUAGGUUGUUGGUGAGGUAACGGCCCACCAAGCCUUCGAUGGAUAGGGGUUCUGAGAGGAAGGUCCCCCACAUUGGAACUGAGACACGGUCCAAACUCCUACGGGAGGCAGCAGUGAGGAAUAUUGGUCAAUGGGCGCUAGCCUGAACCAGCCAAGUAGCGUGAAGGAUGAAGGCUCUAUGGGUCGUAAACUUCUUUUAUAUAAGAAUAAAGUGCAGUAUGUAUACUGUUUUGUAUGUAUUAUAUGAAUAAGGAUCGGCUAACUCCGUGCCAGCAGCCGCGGUAAUACGGAGGAUCCGAGCGUUAUCCGGAUUUAUUGGGUUUAAAGGGAGCGUAGGUGGACUGGUAAGUCAGUUGUGAAAGUUUGCGGCUCAACCGUAAAAUUGCAGUUGAUACUGUCAGUCUUGAGUACAGUAGAGGUGGGCGGAAUUCGUGGUGUAGCGGUGAAAUGCUUAGAUAUCACGAAGAACUCCGAUUGCGAAGGCAGCUCACUGGACUGCAACUGACACUGAUGCUCGAAAGUGUGGGUAUCAAACAGGAUUAGAUACCCUGGUAGUCCACACAGUAAACGAUGAAUACUCGCUGUUUGCGAUAUACAGUAAGCGGCCAAGCGAAAGCAUUAAGUAUUCCACCUGGGGAGUACGCCGGCAACGGUGAAACUCAAAGGAAUUGACGGGGGCCCGCACAAGCGGAGGAACAUGUGGUUUAAUUCGAUGAUACGCGAGGAACCUUACCCGGGCUUAAAUUGCAGUGGAAUGAUGUGGAAACAUGUCAGUGAGCAAUCACCGCUGUGAAGGUGCUGCAUGGUUGUCGUCAGCUCGUGCCGUGAGGUGUCGGCUUAAGUGCCAUAACGAGCGCAACCCUUAUCUUUAGUUACUAACAGGUUAUGCUGAGGACUCUAGAGAGACUGCCGUCGUAAGAUGUGAGGAAGGUGGGGAUGACGUCAAAUCAGCACGGCCCUUACGUCCGGGGCUACACACGUGUUACAAUGGGGGGUACAGAAGGCAGCUAGCGGGUGACCGUAUGCUAAUCCCAAAAUCCUCUCUCAGUUCGGAUCGAAGUCUGCAACCCGACUUCGUGAAGCUGGAUUCGCUAGUAAUCGCGCAUCAGCCACGGCGCGGUGAAUACGUUCCCGGGCCUUGUACACACCGCCCAUCAAGCCAUGGGAGCCGGGGGUACCUGAAGUACGUAACCGCAAGGAUCGUCCUAGGGUAAAACUGGUGACUGGGGCUAAGU